rnacentral:rRNA from 1 species
UGGGGAAUUUUGGACAAUGGGCGCAAGCCUGAUCCAGCCAUGCCGCGUGCGGGAAGAAGGCCUUCGGGUUGUAAACCGCUUUUGUCAGGGAAGAAAUCUUCUGAGUUAAUACCUCGGGAGGAUGACGGUACCUGAAGAAUAAGCACCGGCUAACUACGUGCCAGCAGCCGCGGUAAUACGUAGGGUGCAAGCGUUAAUCGGAAUUACUGGGCGUAAAGCGUGCGCAGGCGGUUUUGUAAGACAGAGGUGAAAUCCCCGGGCUCAACCUGGGAACUGCCUUUGUGACUGCAAGGCUUGAGUGCGGCAGAGGGGGGCAUGGAAUUCCGCGUGUAGCAGUGAAAUUGCGUAGAUAUGCGGAGGAACACCGAUGGCGAAGGCAAUUCCCCUGGGCCUGCACUGACGCUCAUGCACGAAAGCGGUGGGGAGCAAACAGGAUUAGAUACCCUGGUAGUCCACGCCCUAAACGAUGUCAACUGGUUGUU